GAUGUCACUUUUUGUUAUUGUUUGCUAUAUCUCGAUAUAGUAGUAAAUACAAUUGAUAUAUUUCAAACUUUUAGUACUAUCACUAGAAUCUAAAGUGAAUGUCAAGAUAUUGGUGACAAGCUCGACCAAACUUCUAGGAUGUCGGAUCAAUCUGAAAAUAAAGUUCUUUCGUCAAAGUUUAUCCAACGAAGGAUCUUUUGAUGCUUAAGUCGGUUGAACUUUAGUAAAAAAUGAAAAAGAGUGAAAAAGAGAGUUUUUAGAGAGAGUGUAGAAUAAAAAGAAUAACCCAUCUGGAAGCUUCGAUUUUCUUAUACAAAGGAU
rnacentral:lncRNA from 1 species